AAUCAACGCUGGCGGCGUGCCUAACACAUGCAAGUCGCACGAGAAAGUCCCCGCAAGGGGAUGAGUAAAGUGGCGUACGGGUGAGUAACACGUGACUAACCUACCCUAAAGUGGGGGAUAACCUCGGGAAACCGGGGCUAAUACCGCAUAACCUCGCGAGGUGAAAUUCCUUGUGAGCAAAGCAGCAAUGCGCUUAUGGAGGGGGUCGCGGCUGAUUAGCUAGUUGGCGGGGUAACG
rnacentral:rRNA from 1 species